UACGAAGGGGGGCUAGCGUUGCUCGGAAUCACUGGGCGUAAAGGGUGCGUAGGCGGGUUUUUAAGUCAGAGGUGAAAUCCUGGAGCUCAACUCCAGAACUGCCCUUGAUACUGAGAAUCUUGAGUACGGGAGAGGUGAGUGGAACUGCGAGUGUAGAGGUGAAAUUCGUAGAUAUUCGCAAGAACACCAGUGGCGAAGGCGGCUCACUGGCCCGUAACUGACGCUGAGGCACGAAAGCGUGGGGAGCAAACAGG
rnacentral:rRNA from 1 species